rnacentral:lncRNA from 1 species
GGAUUUACGCGCACGUUGGAACCGAAGAGAGCUCUGUUGUUGCAAUGUUCAGCCCACAAGAGCUUACUGGUGAAGGAAUGGGACAAGACCCAUCUUUAUGCAAAGCCAGCGUUACAGUAAUGUUCCAGGAGCAGCUUGUUGCUAUAUACCAUUGAAAAGCCUUCAGAGCUGAGAGGUACUACUAACCAAUAACCUGCUUGGCUCAAAGGGCCAGCACCUUCUCUCUAAAGCCCAAGAGGAGUUUGAGGAAAACUAGGUGUCUGUGUUCACUCCAGGCUGAAGUUACAGGUCUGAGCAAAUAAGGUGUAUAAAAAAUGGAAUCUGUCUUGGAGGACAUCAGAAGGUGAAUUUUCCAAGUUCUUGGACAACCUAGCUGUUGAAAAGCUUUCUGGGUUUGGGGGGUAUUUCAGAUGUACCUUAAAGUGUUAGCAGACACAGAUUAAGACACUGGGAGCCAAUGAAACAGCAGUUGAGGGUUUGCUGUGUAUCACAUUUCUGUAUUUUAUCACCCCCUUCCUGCAACAUUAUUUAUCUGGAAUCUACCUGCCCUUUUGUUUUUUAGAUACAAGGGCUUGGUUUUGUUACCCAGGCUGGUUUCAAGGCCAUAGCUUUAAGAGAUCCUCUCACCACAGAUUUCCAAAGUGCUGGGAUUGCAGGUGUGAUUCAUGGCACCCAGACUUUGCUGCCUUUCUUACAUGAUCCAGGCCCAGAACCCAAACUCAGGCACUGUAUAGAUGACCACUUUCGUAAACUACUGACCUAGCUUGUUGCCAAUUGUUGAUUGAACUUCCCAUAACUCCACUUCGUGUCUGUUCCUCUGUAUACAGCCACCUUCUGUUCCCGUCAUGAGCCUUUAGGUCUCCAUUUGCAUAUUGCAAAUACUAUGUUCCAUGUAGGUAGCUCAUUCAGGGCCUUGCUCUUCACUUCAAAAAAGGUUCCCUUGAGGACUGGCUGUCAAUUUGUGUUGCUGUGUUGGUUGUUGAUGAAAAUAAUAAAAUGAUUGAUUACAUA